rnacentral:rRNA from 1 species
AUUGAACGCUGGCGGCAGGCCUAACACAUGCAAGUCGAGCGGCAGCACUUCGGGUGGCGAGCGGCGGACGGGUGAGUAACACGUAGGAAUCUACCUAGUAGUGGGGGAUAGCCCGGGGAAACUCGGAUUAAUACCGCAUACGCUCUACGGAGGAAAGGGGGCGUUCGGCUCUCGCUAUUAGAUGAGCCUGCGUCGGAUUAGCUAGUUGGUGAGGUAAAGGCUCACCAAGGCGACGAUCCGUAACUGGUCUGAGAGGAUGAUCAGUCACACUGGAACUGAGACACGGUCCAGACUCCUACGGGAGGCAGCAGUGGGGAAUAUUGGACAAUGGGGGAAACCCGUAGAUCCAGCCAUGCCGCGUGUGUGAAGAAGGCCUCGGUUGGUAAGUACGACUUCUAGUUGGGUAGGAAAGUAGGUACG